GUGACUGCUUUGGAAACUGAACAACGUCAAUUAUCCACAGCACAGAUAGAAACUGGCCAGUAGCAGCACAGAUGACUUCAUGCUGCCCUGCCAGUGUGCCUCAAAAUCCUUUCUUAGAACCUCAUGCAGUAGGAACGUUUUAAGUCUUCACUCAGUCCAGUAAGAUUUCCAAU
rnacentral:sRNA from 1 species